rnacentral:rRNA from 1 species
AUUGAACGCUGGCGGCAGGCCUAACACAUGCAAGUCGAGCGAGCGGCGGACGGGUGAGUAAUGUCUGGGAAACCGACUGAUGGAGGGGGCUAAGUUCUGGAAACGGUAGCUAAAACCGCAUCCUAUCAGAUGAGCCUAGAUGGGAUUAGCUAGUGUGUGGGGUAACGGCUCACCUAGGCGACGAUCCCUAGCUGGUCUGAGAGGAUGACCAGCCACCCUGGACCUGAGACGCGGUCCAGACUCCGACGGUAGGCAGCGGUGGGGAAUGUUGCACAAGGUGCGGAAGCCUAGUGCCGCCAUGCCGCGUGUGUGAAGAAGGCCUUCGGGUUGUAAAGCACUUUCAGCGGGGAGGCGUUACCCGCAGAAGAAGCACCGGCUAACUCCGUGCCAGCAGCCGCGGUAAUAC